rnacentral:rRNA from 1 species
CCUGGUUGAUCCUGCCAGUAGUCAUAUGCUUGUCUCAAAGAUUAAGCCAUGCAAGUCUAAGUACGAGCUCUCGUACAGUGAAACUGCGAAUGGCUCAUUAAAUCAGUUAUGGUUCAUUUGAUCGUACAGUUUACUUGGAUAACUGUGGUAAUUCUAGAGCUAAUACAUGCGAGAAGCGCCGACCUCGCGGGAGGCGUGCAUUUAUCAGACCAAAAACCGGCCGCGUCUUCGGGCGCGUUCGCCUUGGUGACUCUGGAUAACUUUGCGGAUCGCACGGUCUAGCACCGGCGACGGAUCAUUCAAGUGUCUGCCCUAUCAACUUUCGUCGGUACGGUAUUUGCCUACCGAGGUUCUUACGGGUGACGGGGAAUCAGGGUUCGAUUCCGGAGAGGGAGCCUGAGAAACGGCUACCACAUCCAAGGAAGGCAGCAGGCGCGCAAAUUACCCAUUCCCGACGCGGGGAGGUAGUGACGAAAAAUAACAAUGCAGGACUCGUUCGAGGCCCUGUAAUUGGAAUGAGUACACUUUAAAAGCUUUAACGAGUAUCCAUUGGAGGGCAAGUCUGGUGCCAGCAGACGCGGUAAUUCCAGCUCCAAAAGUAUAUAUUUAAGUUGUUGCGGUUAAAAAGCUCGUAGUUGGAUUUUGGGCGCAGGCGGCCGGUCCGUCGCAAGGCGUGUACUGGACGUCCUGGCCUUCCCUCCGGUUCUCCGCCGGUGCUCUUGACUGAGUGUCGGCGGCGGCCGGAACGUUUACUUUGAAAAAAUUAGAGUGUUCAAAGCAGGCUCUCGAGCCUGGAUAAUGGUGCAUGGAAUAAUGGAAUAGGACCUCGGUUCUAUUUUGUUGGUUUUCGGAGCGCGAGGUAAUGAUUAAGAGGGACAGACGGGGGCAUUCGUACUGUGCCGUUAGAGGUGAAAUUCUUGGAUCGGCGCAAGACGAACGACUGCGAAAGCAUUUGCCAAGAAUGUUUUCUUUAAUCAAGAGCGAAAGUCAGAGGUUCGAAGACGAUCAGAUACCGUCCUAGUUCUGACUAUAAACGAUGCCAACUAGCGAUCGGGGGGCGUUACAUUGACGACCCCUCCGGCAGCUUACGGGAAACCAAAGUCUUUGGGUUCCGGGGGAAGUAUGGUUGCAAAGCUGAAACUUAAAGGAAUUGACGGAAGGGCACCACCAGGAGUGGAGCCUGCGGCUUAAUUUGACUCAACACGGGAAAUCUCACCCGGCCCGGACACAGUGAGGAUUGACAGAUUGAGAGCUCU